GACGAACGCUGGCGGCGUGCUUAACACAUGCAAGUCGAACGGAAAGGCCCUGCUUGCCGGGUACUCGAGUGGCGAACGGGUGAGUAACACGUGGGUGAUCUGCCCUGCACUUCGGGAUAAGCCUGGGAAACUGGGUCUAAUACCGGAUAGGAGCCAUUUUUAGUGUGAUGGUUGGAAAGUUUUUUCGGUGUAGGAUGAGCUCGCGGCCUAUCAGCUUGUUGGUGGGGUAAUGGCCUACCAAGGCGGCGACGGGUAGCCGGCCUGAGAGGGUGGACGGCCACAUUGGGACUGAGAUACGGCCCAGACGCCUACGGGAGGCAGCAGUGGGGAAUAUUGCACAAUGGGCGCAAGCCUGAUGCAGCGACGCCGCGUGGGGGAUGACGGCCUUCGGGUUGUAAACUCCUUUCGCUAGGGACGAAGCUUUUUGUGACGGUGCCUAGAUAAGAAGCACCGGCUAACUACGUG
rnacentral:rRNA from 1 species